UUGUUGCAUGGAACAUCUUUAUCUAGUCCCUUCAUUAAUUAGUGACCAACCAAAAGAAAUUGUCCUUUUUGUUUAAAAAGAGAGAAAAAUAAAGCGUGUCUAUUGCUGCUCCUACUUGCACCUCCGUUAACGCAAUCAUAUCUUUAACUCAUACAACUAAACUCUUACUUUUCGUCGUUGCUUCUACUCCUCAAAUCACACAACCCCCAAUAUAGUUUUUUUUUUAUCACAUCGUAACAAUAUGGGGCUGCCAAAAAAAAUAUGUACGAUUAAAAAGCUUGAUGUAGAAUGCAUGUAGAAAAGUUCGACUGAGUCAAAGCAAGUUGUUUUAUUCCAGAAACAUGGUCCAGUUACGCCCCAAUAAUUGGAUACAUACAAACUCUGAAACAAAACAAAAGAAUAUAAAAAAAAAUAUUUAGUAAAAAAGGAAAAAGUUAUAUAAAAGUAAUAUUCUCCUCAAAUUUCAACUAAAUUUUGAGAACAUGAAGUCGAACAAUUUCACACGUAAUGUUCCUCUAGACCUCUUAUUUUUGUCUCUCCUAUAGGCCUCUACGUAGUGAUUUAGGCUGUACUAAAACAUUUGAAUUUGGUAAUCUUGUGCAAUCUAUAAUAAACAUAUAUACAAAGCAUGCACCAGUUAUAUAGCAAAC
rnacentral:lncRNA from 1 species